UACGUAGGGCGCAAGCGUUGUCCGGAAUUAUUGGGCGUAAAGAGCUCGUAGGCGGUCUGUCGCGUCUGGUGUGAAAUCCCAUGGCUCAACUGUGGGCUUGCAUCGGGUACGGGCAGACUAGAGUGCUGUAGGGGAGACUGGAAUUCCUGGUGUAGCGGUGGAAUGCGCAGAUAUCAGGAGGAACACCGAUGGCGAAGGCAGGUCUCUGGGCAGUUACUGACGCUGAGGAGUGAAAGCAUGGGAGCGAACAGG
rnacentral:rRNA from 1 species